CUUUCAUACGGUACUGCGUCAUCAACUGAUACAACCUAUCGAUCAACGGCAACGAUCACGUGUCACACCGGAUACAGUCUGCAUGGGAACGCCACACUCACAUGUUACAGCAAUGGGAUAUGGGACAAUGUAGAGGGGACAUGUGAACCACUUGAUUGUGGGACAUUCAACAGACCAAACAAUAGUUUCGUUUCAACAACGAACACCACAUAUGGGUCCACAGCAACGAUUACUUGUCACAUCGGAUACAAACUCUAUGGAAGGAACACAUCCACCUGUAACAGCAAUGGAAUGUGGAGCAACGUCGGUCAUUUAUGUACACCAGUCGAUUGUGGACGAUAUCCAAGGCCAACGCAAAGUUGGAUAUCAACUGGACCAACCACAUAUAAUUCAACAGUAAUCAUAACAUGCUUUCCGGGCUACAAACUUACGGGAACUGGUAUAUCUACCUGUGAAGAAAACGGGAAGUGGCGUAACGCAGACCAGGAAUGCAUCCUACAAACCGUCUUUCUGAAAGUACCUGAAGCAAAUUGUACAUUUGAGGACAAUGCCACAUGCAAAUGUGACAGCACAUCAAUCGUGAAGGACACGAACUUCAACAAUACAGUCGAUAUGCCAUACAAUAUGAAUGACAGUUUACAUCUGAAUG